GCGGAUCUACGGGGGGGCCUAAGGUGGCCAUGGUCUCCCCAAAAUUUAAAAAAAAAUAGUAAAUAGUAAUAAUUAAUAAUAUUAUAUUUAUUUUUAUAUAUAAUAUUAAAAAAAUAUAAGUUACAAAAUUUUAUAAAUUAAAAUAAUUAAAAACUGCACUAUGUAUUAGAUAUUUGAAUUAUUGUUGCUCUUGUUAACAAAUAGCCCAUUCUAAUAAUUAAUAAAAAUGGUUCUAUUAUACUAGCCCAAACCCAUACUAUUAAUUAAAGUAACACUAGUACAUUUUUCAAAUAUUUGUUUCAAACCAUCAGAGACAUCAGCGCCACUUUUCUCUCUCUUUUAGUAGUUUUCAAACUUUUGGUCUUCUACUCUUCUCAUUCUAAUUUUCUUUCCAUACCAAAACAAGACAUAUGAAGAAAAACCAUUGAAGAGAAGUGAACAACAAAAUAUUAACCAUUGAAUGCACAACAAAGAUUCAAAGAGUGUUCAAAGAUUGAAGUGAGGACAAAACUCAA